rnacentral:lncRNA from 1 species
UGAUCUUUAGCUGCCAUGACAACAGGAUACAGAGAGAUGCAUUUUCAUAACAAUUGCUAGCAGUGUUGAGAAUCACUGUUACUUGGUGUCAGGGAACAGCUGGCUCUGGGAAGAACACAGCAUUGUUUCUCUUAACUUGUCUGUGUAUGACUCCGCACUUGUGUUAGCAUUCUGACGCUGUAACAAAAUACCUAAGCUAAUGAACUUAAAACAGAGGACAGCUUGAGUUUGGCUCUACGUUUGGAGUUCCAGUCAACGGUUGAUCAGCCCCAUUGCGUUUGGGACUGUGAUGUUGAAUGUUUAGGUGACCAGCGUUCAGGGAACAGUGUUGAAUUAUUUCUACUCGGUGGUGGUAAAACCUCAUUCAAAGGCUGCCUCACAACAGGUGAUUGUGAUUUGCCUCGGGCACUAGCAGGCGUGUGAUCUUUGCCAGCUACAGAGAGUUUAAUUCUGGGGACUCUGGAGAAGGGAUACAUGGAAGAGCCCGCCCCCAGGACCUGUGGCUGGUGGCUACUCCUCUGCUGUUGCUGCUGCUGCCACUGCCCAGCUGCUGCCCCUGCAACUGCCACCUGCUGCUGCUGCUGCUGCAUGUGCUGCCAGUGCUACUGGUCUCUGCUGGUUCCUGCUGCUGCAGUUGCUGUUGCAUUUGCUAUGCUUGGAUUGCUUGUUUGUUGAACUGCUGGCUCUCCUGACGAUGAAGAUUAGACUUGCCCCAAGGAACCCCAUGCCUCUAUUCAGCAUUUGAGCUAAAGGCUCCAUCUGCAAAUCACCUGGAUAUAAAUGCUUGAGACCAUUCGGCCUUAUGGAUGUGGAGCGCCCAGUCCACCAUGUGCCUAGGCACGAGUUGUAUCCUCCUCACGGAGCCCAGGGCUGCCAGGCUUACAUCCUUACCUUCCAGCUCCGAAGAGGAAGAGCGUUCCUUCUCCCAUCGAUUCCAAAAGCUCCGUUGUCAGAUGGAAUCAUGCCCUGAACCAUUCCUGAAGGGAUGAAGUGGGAUUCAUGUGUAGAAGAGAAAGACCUGCAGUCGCUUUUGAGUGAUUCCAGACAGGAGGGCAGAAGAAAAAAAGACCAGGCAGAAAUCGAGUAAGCUAAUUUUUUGUCCUGGCUUCACCAUGACUUUGGGAUUUGGGACAAAUGACAUCUUUGCAUCCUUUCUGUUUCCCCCUCUUAGGUUAGGAAAUGGCCUGCAUCUUCCACAGCUCAAGGUUAGAUGGCAGAAAGGAAGCAUCACAAACCAGCCAGAGGAAUGGAGAUGAGGAGGGAACUGUGGGUAGUGUGGCUGGACUUUGGACAGGAAUUUUGUCUGGGAAGCAGUCUAAGGAUUGCUAAAGACCAAAGCUGACUUCCAAACACAGUUCUAAUGGAAGGAGAUUGGCCAGCUCAUUGUCUUCAAAAGUCAUUUAGAGGCCCUCUCCUGCAGAUAGGGAGACUCCUAGCUCUUCUCUAGUAGGAUGGCAUGUCACUAUGUUUGUGUUAAGAACUGCCUUUCAUGAAACACAUGGCAGACAUGUGGAAGGAGAGAAAUUAUCCUCUAUGUAAACAUUGUCCAGUAAAUUAAUCAAACUUCUACUGAGCAUUUGCUAAAUGUCAGGUGCUUAGUUAUACGCCUCAAAGAUGGAGAGCAGAUGGCUUCCUCCCUCAGGGAGGUUUAAUCUGGAGAUUUGAAUGGAGAAUCAUUUAAAACUAACCAGGAAAACAGAAACACCUCUGUUUAAAAUGAAGGAAUUUUAAUGCAAAAGAAAUGGCUACACGGGUGAUAGUGAUGUCGAGAAGCUAAGAGGUAAGGAAGAGGAGAGGAAGAGAAGAGGAUGAAGAGAUGAGGAUGAAGUGACCCAGGAGACGGCAUGGUCCAAUUGCUAUGGUGACUUUUUAGAGGCACAGAAAAAGAAGUCCCAAAGUAAAUGGUGGUAAUGUUGGAGCUUAUGUGGAAAUGGUGGGAAGAGGAUGGAAGGACUCAGAGUGAGGCCAGAAUCAGCACCAGGUGACUUUGUGCCAAGAUGUGGGAGGAGGUCUUCAUUAGUAAGGAAUCACAUUUGAUGGUGAAAGGGAUGGCGGCAUCACUGUAAAUGUGGUCAGUGGUGGCUUCUCGCCAGGCCAGGGCCAAGUUCAGGUGGCAUCAUGACAGAAUAGGUUUACCUCAGAGAAUCAUUGAGGUGACUAUGAAAACUACAGUUCCCAGGGAGAAGACAACCAGCCGACUGUCUUAGUCAAGAGACAUUAAAGGAGAUAGAGUGAUGGCAAGCGACUACCACAGAAAGGGACCAUUCCUUACCUGUUUCUUUUGCCAGAGGUGAGCAAAUUUUCAAAUAGGAGGUGAGAACUGGCUUUAUGCAGUUCUAAUGAAGGAAUGUCUUUGCAGCAUCAAAACAAACACACACAUGAAGCCUAGUGAUUCCUCUAGGCUUCAUGUGCAAGUCACCUCAAGGAGACUCAGCCAGCUACAGGAGUAGAUCUGUGCUGAGUGGUAAGAGGGUGCCCCAGGACUCCAGUGACUGGUGGGCAAUGGAUCUUAGCUGACAGUGGCAUUAUGGCCCUCUGUUAAUGGAAAGGAGCCAGGUAAGAAGUCCUGGCUACACUACUACAGUACAACUCAUAGUGGCUUCAUGAUGUGUGUGGGCCCAUCUGGUAGUUAUAUUUGAUGCUUUCUCUCUCUUCCUUCCUUCCUUCCUUCCUUCCUUCCUUCCUUCCUUCCUUCCUUCCUUCCUUCCUUCCUUCCUUCCUUCCUUCCUUCCUUCCUUCCUUUCUCUCUCUCUCUCUCUCUCUCUCUCUUCCUUCCUUCCUUCCUUCCUUCCUUCCUUCCUUCUUCCUCCCUCCCUCCCUCCCUCCCUCCCUCCCUCCCUCCCUCCCUCCCUCCCUCCCCUCUCUCGAUCUCUCUUUCUCUCUCUCUGUCCCUCCCUUCCUCCUGUUUUUUUUUUCUUCCCUCCCUUUUCUGGUUUCUUGCUUGUUUGUUUUUUUUGGCAGGAUCUCACUAUGUAGCUCGGCCCAUCCUGGCUCUCACCUGAUCACUAUGAAGAUCAAGCUGGCUAAGAAUGGCUUUACCAUGGCUGGCACGUCUGAAGUUCUUAAGUGUGUAAUGGGAUGGACAGUCUUCAUGGCUAGCUUGGAGUGUUACUUGUCUUGUGGGUCAGAAUUGCCACAGUGGGGAAAUGUAAGUGAAAAGCAGACCCUCUCCUGCCACCGCCCCUGCAUCUUCAGCACGGUAAAGAGUCAGCUAAGGAAAUGGAAGAAAAUGCCAGUUGGCAGAAGCUAAGUGUGCUGAGCUGGCGGCCCCAGUUACAUUGUCAUUCAUUUUUGAUGAAUGGAGAACUCAGGCCUCUGUGAACCCAGAUGGAUUCUGGUAGAUGACAAUGGAGUUCUCUAACCUUAGCUACGAAGCAGCUACUACACCAGAUGUGGCAUCUUCACUCGAACAGAUAAAUAACUAAGGACAUUAAUCUGCUUCCAGAAAAAAAAAAGACUUUCCUCCAGCACAGUCAAGCAUCAAACACUAAUAAAACACAGGGAGGGUCUACGAGGAUGAAUAAGAAACCUUGCAAAGCAAUCAGAAAGCAGUAAGUUCUGUUCUAGAAAGUUCCAUUCUAAAAGGUCAAUGUCUUCUUCUGUGCAGAGACCAAACCAUAGUCCUGGAUGAAUACUCGCAGUGGCACACUCUAUACCAUGUGACCCAGUGCCUUUGGCCAGCUCAGUUGCACCAGAGGGUCUGAUCCACGGUAACUGACCUCACGGGGGGCCAAGGGAUAGGUGAUCUGGUGUGGAAACACGACAACGCGUCAGAUCUCAUUCUCCACUCGGGAGCCUGGAUUGGGGAGACGGAAGCUGAGCUGGCUAGCUGUCAUGCACAGGGGAGUCAGUGUGAGAAUGUCACUGAAGACGCAUUGAAACAGGGAGAAGAGGGGAUUGUGGGAAGAGAGGGAGGGGACUCUUGAUGCUUCCUGGUCAUCCUGGACAGAUUUCUGGGGACCCUAUGUGCUUUUGUUCUUACUUUUAGGCUCCGUGAAAGCCCUCUGAGGAUAUCCCCUGGUUGAGUUAGAGUGAGUGGAUAGGGAGAGCUUGCCUAGCAUUGGAGCCUGCGGGGUACCACUUCUUGUCUGACUUUACCACUAACUCUCUAGUACGAUUAGAUAUUUUCUAUGUAUUGCUUUCAUCUUUCUUCUUAGGCUAUGAGGCAGUGUUCUGUGUAGUUGAGGAAAGGUUAACCUUGGUAGUAAUAAUGUUAUGAAUAAUAAUAGUUCAUAUUAACUCAACUUUUACUGCGUGCCAGGCACAGUGUUGGGCACUUUACCCUCGCUAUGUUCAGCAGGAAGGGACUCCCCUGGGAAUUGCUGCUGUAGCCAUUGUUGUCAAUGUGACCUGACUUCCUCUGCUCUGACUGUACAGCCACAGGAAGUGACCUGCCACACACAGCUGGUGGAAGGACAGAGGUAUCCACUCUUGGGGUAGUUAUCUUUUUCUUCUCAGCAAAAGUGGUUCAUACACACUAGUGAAAAUUUGAAAACAUCUAGAAGCAGAACUACAAAAACAGUCCAAUAUUCUGUCCACUACAGAUACGUUGUCAAUAUUGUGCUGUCUGUUCCCCCCCCCUUUGCUUUGAAAGCUUUACAACGUCAAAUCUGAACCCUUUUCAUGCCAUUAAAUGUGCUUCUCCUAUGUAAU